rnacentral:rRNA from 1 species
UAGCUAGUUGGUGAGGUAAAGGCUUACCAAGGCGACGAUCUGUAGCGGGUCUGAGAGGAUGAUCCGCCACACUGGAACUGAGACACGGUCCAGACUCCUACGGGAGGCAGCAGUGGGGAAUUUUGGACAAUGGGGGCAACCCUGAUCCAGCCAUGCCGCGUGAGUGAAGAAGGCCUUCGGGUUGUAAAGCUCUUUCGGCCGGGAAGAAAUCGCAUGGGCCAAUACCCUGUGUGGAUGACGGUACCGGAAUAAGAAGCACCGGCUAACUACGUGCCAGCAGCCGCGGUAAUACGUAGGGUGCGAGCGUUAAUCGGAAUUACUGGGCGUAAAGCGUGCGCAGGCGGUUUUGUAAGACAGGCGUGAAAUCCCCGGGCUUAACCUGGGAACUGCGUUUGUGACUGCAAGGCUAGAGUACGGCAGAGGGGGGUGGAAUUCCACGUGUAGCAGUGAAAUGCGUAGAGAUGUGGAGGAACACCAAUGGCGAAGGCAGCCCCCUGGGUCGAUACUGACGCUCAUGCACGAAAGCGUGGGUAGCAAACAGGAUUAGAUACCCUGGUAGUCCACGCCCUAAACUAUGUCAACUAGGUGUUGGGUGGGUAAAACCAUUUAGUACCGUAGCUAACGCGUGAAGUUGACCGCCUGGGGAGUACGGCCGCAAGGUUAAAACUCAAAGGAAUUGACGGGGACCCGCACAAGCGGUGGAUGAUGUGGAUUAAUUCGAUGCAACGCGAAAAACCUUACCUACCCUUGACAUGCCAGGAACUUGCCAGAGAUGGCUUGGUGCCCGAAAGGGAGCCUGGACACAGGUGCUGCAUGGCUGUCGUCAGCUCGUGUCGUGAGAUGUUGGGUUAAGUCCCGCAACGAGCGCAACCCUUGUCGUUAAUUGCCAUCAUUUAGUUGGGCACUUUAACGAGACUGCCGGUGACAAACCGGAGGAAGGUGGGGAUGACGUCAAGUCCUCAUGGCCCUUAUGGGUAGGGCUUCACACGUCAUACAAUGGUCGGUACAAAGGGUUGCCAAGCCGCGAGGCGGAGCCAAUCCCAGAAAGCCGAUCGUAGUCCGGAUUGCAGGCUGCAACUCGCCUGCAUGAAGUCGGAAUCGCUAGUAAUCGUGGAUCAGCAUGUCACGGUGAAUACGUUCCCGGGUCUUGUACACACCGCCCGUCACACCAUGGGAGCGGGUUCCGCCAGAAGUAGGUAGCCUAACCGCAAGGGGGGCGCUUACCACGGCGGGGUUCGUGACUGGGGAGAAGUCGUAACAAGGUAGCCGUAGGGGAACCUGCGGCUG